rnacentral:rRNA from 1 species
UACAGAGGGGGCUAGCGUUGUUCGGAAUUACUGGGCUUACAGGGUGCGUAGGCGGCUUGUUAAGUAGGGUGUGAAAGCCCCCGGCUCAACCGGGGAAUUGCGCCCUAAACUGGCGAGCUGGAGUGAGAUAGGGGUGUGUGGAACUUCCGGUGGAGCGGUGAAAUGUGUUGAUAUCGGAAGGAACGCCGGUAGCGAAAGCGACACACUGGGUCUUGACUGACGCUGAGGCACGAAAGCCAGGGGAGCGAACGGG